UUGGAGAGAAGUCAAGCUUCAUAAAUAUAGCCGGGUAUAAUACCGCAAGGUGAAUCUAGUUCAUUGGCAAAAGCCCAAAAGGUACAGACCUUCUGGUUUUGGGUGCUUUUCGCCGUAUUGUUCAUUGUAAUCUUAAAAGACAUAUGUCACUCAUGAGGCUGGAGGAUAAUGCAACCUGUUGUUUCCUUUAAUUCCUGUUGCCACUCCUGGUAUUAGCUGUCUUCCUGUUCGUACGAUUUUUAUAUGCUAAUUAGGACAUGCAACUUGUGUAGUUUAUCAUGGGACAUCUUGGAUACAAAUCUAUAACCAACCCCCCCCCCCUUUCAAGUAAAUUUUUCUGACGUCCGUCUUUGACCAUUCAAAACUUGCUGGAUUUAUGUGCUUUUUAAAAGUCCUUUCUCGGUUUCCGUAAAAGGGUUGGCCAAUCCCCGGCCACUACUCCAUGAACCAUUUGGAGCUGUUUAAGAACAGCA